CUGUGCAAAUGCUUCUGGUUCUGCCACAUACCAUAGUCUCUACUUUUGUGGCUAGGCUUUUAAAUUCCGGAGUUUGAGGGUCUUUCAGUGCUGGAACAAACACCUCUAUAAUGACAAUCUGUAUGGCAACAGUUGGCUGAGGACGUGCUGGUGCUGCUGUUGUGGUUGCUGCUGUUGUUAUUGUGGUUGUUGUUGCUGUUGUUUUAGGAUUGGCAGUAGAUGUUGUUGUUGUUGUUGUUGUUUUUGUUGUUGUUGUUGUUGUUGUUGUGGUUGUGGGUGUUGUUGUUACAGUUGUAUUAGGUUUGGCAGUAGAUGUUGUGGUUGUUGUUGUGGUUGCUGUUGGUGCUGUUGUAUUAGGAUUGACAGUAGAUGUUGUGGUUGCUGUUGAUGCUGUUGUAUUAGGAUUGACAGUAGAUGUUGUGGUUGCUGUUGAUGCUGUUGUAUUAGGAUUGACAGUAGAUGUUGUGGUUGCUGUUGAUGCUGUUGUAUUCGGAUUGACAUUAGAUGUUGUGGUGGUGGUUGUUGUUGUUGUUGAUGCUGUUGUAUUAGGAUUGACAGUAGAUGUUGUGGUUGCUGGUGAUGCUGUUGUAUUAGGAUUGGCAGUAGAUGUUGUGGUUGUUGUUGUUGCUGCUGCUGUUGUUGUGUUAGGUGUGGUUGUAGUUGUAAUUGUAGUGGAACUGGUUGUAGUGGCUUUGGUAGUUGUGGUGAAGGGCUUCCAUACUGUUGUGUGGGUUUGGUUAUUUUGUAGAAUAUGAAAAAUAAAAAUAAAAGUUGAGAAAAAUACCUUCAGCAAGAUGCAGCAGUGCAACCGCUUUAGUUAAAUAAAAACACAGAACACAUUGUAAAAUCUUUUGUAUUAUAUACUGAUGAUGUUCUUUGUUUGACUUACUUGUUACACUGGUGAUACUGAGAGUGGCAUUAGCUUUCAUAAUAGUGUUUUCUAUCUCAACAUCACUGGGUAAGGUUCCAAAUGUCACAUUCAUA
ensembl:lncRNA